AUUGAACGCUGGCGGCAGGCUUAACAUAUGCAAGUCGAGCGGUAACAGAGAGAAGCUUGCUUCUCUGCUGACGAGCGGCGGACGGGUGAGUAAUGCCUAGGAAUCUGCCUAGUAGUGGGGGAUAACUUGCCGAAAGGUAAGCUAAUACCGCAUACGUCCUACGGGAGAAAGGAGGGGACCUUCGGGCCUUUCGCUAUUAGAUGAGCCUAGGUCGGAUUAGUUAGUUGGUGAGGUAAUGGCUCACCAAGACCGCGAUCCGUAACUGGUCUGAGAGGAUGAUCAGUCACACUGGAACUGAGACACGGUCCAGACUCCUACGGGAGGCAGCAGUGGGGAAUAUUGGACAAUGGGGGGAACCCUGAUCCAGCCAUGCCGCGUGUGUGAAGAAGGUCUUAGGAUUGUAAAGCACUUUAAGUUGGGAGGAAGAGCAGUUAACUAAUAUUUGACUGUUUUGACGUUACCGACAGAAUAAGCACCGGCUAACUUCGUG
rnacentral:rRNA from 1 species